AACGAACGCUGGCGGCGUGCUUAACACAUGCAAGUCGAACGCGAAAGGGACUUCGGUCCUGAGUAAAGUGGCGCACGGGUGAGUAACGCGUAGAUAACCUGUCUUCAUGUCUGGAAUAAUACGCCGAAAGGGGUACUAAUACCGGAUAUUCUUGCUUUUCAUAAGUUAUGCAAGCAAAGGUGGCCUCUGCAUAUGCUACUGCAUGAAGAGGGGUCUGCGUACCAUUAGCUAGUAGGUGGGGUAAUGGCCUACCUAGGCGACGAUGGUUAGCGGGUCUGAGAGGAUGAUCCGCCACACUGGCACUGGAACACGGGCCAGACUCCUACGGGAGGCAGCAGUGAGGAAUAUUGCGCAAUGGGGGAAACCCUGACGCAGCGACGCCGCGUGAGUGAGGAAAGGCCUUCGGGUCGUAAAGCUCUGUCAAGAGGAAGGAAGUGUACAAUGGCUAAUACCUGUUGUAUUUGACGGUACCUCUAAAGGAAGCACCGGCUAACUCCGUGCCAGCAGCAGC
rnacentral:rRNA from 1 species